AGCGAGCUGGCGGCAGGCUACACGAUGCAAGUCGAACGGAACCCGUUCGGGGUUAGUGGCGGACGGGUCGGAGGUAACCACGUAGGGAACGGUGCCUUUUAGGUUCGGAAUAGCGUCCUGGAAACGGGUGGUAAUAGCCGAAUGUGCCCUUUGGGGGAAAGAUUUAUCGCCAUUAGAGCGGCCCGCGUCUGAUUAGCUAGUUGGUGAGGUAAGGACUCACCAAGGCGACGAUCAGUAGCUGGUCUGAGAGGAUGACCAGCCACAUUGGGACUGAGACACGGCCCAAACUCCUACGGGAGGCAGCAGUGGGGGAAUCUUGCGCAAUGGGCGAAAGCCUGACGCAGCCAUGCCGCGUGAAUGAUGAAGGUCUUAGGAUUGUAAAAUUCUUUCACCGGGGACGAUAAUGACGGUACCCGGAGAAGAAGCCCCGGCUAACUUCGUG
rnacentral:rRNA from 1 species